CCAUCUUAUCGAUGGCUUCAAAUGAAAGAGGCACAUACCCUCACGAACUUCCAAGGGUAACCUCGUCACUAUCCUAAUACCGUAACGACGGGAAGGAGGACUCAGCCCAAGCAGAUCAGACCAAGUUGUAAAUGAUGAAUUUCAGGCAGAAUCAUCCUGCCUGAUCCAAAUCUCACAGGAAUUUCUUUGGCGAGAAAAAAGAUUUGCUUUGAUGCCGAUGCCAUGUCUAUGCUUCAUUACGAUGUGUGAAGGAGGAGAUCUAUUACAUACUACAGCACACUGAGUGAUGGUCCUGAACAGCAGCAGAGGAGUCCCAGGGCAGAUGAUCGCAAAUGGUGAUCCGAUUGGGUUUGUGAAGGUGAGGGACACCAGCCCUUGCGUCUACCAGACAUCCACGGAGAAUACAUGACUUGUUGGACAAUUUACACUGAUACCUACAAGACAUACAGCAAGUCCAUCAGUCUCACGUUAAUUCCUCCGAGGUGGAGACAGGCUUAGCGAAGAUUUUAUACCCACAGAUUCCAAUUGAGUUCAGCCCUCUGGUAAUUGACAUGAAACUUUCUUGACUGUUCAGAAAUGACAGGCGCCACUUGGUCUCAAAGGGUUGGCAAAAAUGGAUUGCUGCAAAGCGUUCAUUGCAUUUUUCUGCUAAUAUUAAUUUGUCUGGGUUAAACAUGUCCAGAGAUUGAUGAAGCUGUCCAAGGGAUAUUUUCAUCACCUCUGUUUCAGUGAGCUACUUGAGCUAACAUUUAUGUUGUCACAGUUUAUCUGCUAUGGAUUUGAAUUCUGUAAUUGAAAUACAUUCAGCUCCAAAAUA